rnacentral:rRNA from 1 species
GAUGAACGCUGGCGGCGUGCUUAACACAUGCAAGUCGAACGGUGAAGCCCAGCUUGCUGGGUGGAUCAGUGGCGAACGGGUGAGUAACACGUGAGCAACCUGCCCCUGACUCUGGGAUAAGCGCUGGAAACGGUGUCUAAUACUGGAUACGAGCUGCGAAGGCAUCUUCAGCAGCUGGAAAGAAUUUCGGUCAAGGAUGAGCUCGCGGCCUAUCAGCUUGUUGGUGAGGUAAUGGCUCACCAAGGCGUCGACGGGUAGCCGGCCUGAGAGGGUGACCGGCCACACUGGGACUGAGACACGGCCCAGACUCCUACGGGAGGCAGCAGUGGGGAAUAUUGCACAAUGGGCGCAAGCCUGAUGCAGCAACGCCGCGUGAGGGACGACGGCCUUCGGGUUGUAAACCUCUUUUAGCAGGGAAGAAGCGAAAGUGACGGUACCUGCAGAAAAAGCACCGGCUAACUACGUGCCAGCCGCCGCAGUAACAC